UACGUAGGCAGCAAGCGUUGUUCGGAAUUACUGGGCGUAAAGAGUACGUAGGUGGUUUGCCAAGUCCGAUGUGAAAUCUCCUGGCUUAACUGGGAGGGUGCGUUAGAUACUGGCAGGCUUGAAUGUGGGAGAGGAGAGCGGAAUUCCUGGUGUAGCGGUGAAAUGCGUAGAUAUCAGGAGGAACACCGGUGGCGAAGGCGACAUCCUGGACCGGUAUUGACGCUGAGGCGCGAAAGCCAGGGGAGCAAACGGG
rnacentral:rRNA from 1 species